UCUAAUAUGGCAGAAUAGUGCAUUGGAUUUAAACCCCAAAUAUAAAAUUUUUUUUGUUAGAA
rnacentral:tRNA from 1 species